GGAGCCUAUUCCAAGUUAGGUGAAGGUAAAGCUAACACUACCUGCACCCAGAAGCUCUACGGGGUUAGCCUGGUGAUGAGAACAGGAUCUGAGGACCACUGGGAACAUCCCAGGCCAGUACUAUUCCCAUUCACGGGCACAUCAUUUAUGUCAGGAAGUUCUACCCCAGCCUGCUCAUCGCAGAAGGACCAAGAACUAACUAGAAGAUCUACUUCUAAUCUAAUUUAGUGGGGCAUAGUAAUUGUCUACAAUUAAUGUUCCAAGUGCAGGUUUUUCUGUGUGCUCACUGCAGUUUCUAGACACAACUGCUCUGACCUUUUCAGAUCCUUGCUAUACAAUUUGCCUCUUGUUCAAAUCAUUUGCCAUUACUAGACACCAACUGGCUGCUGAUAAAGGCUAAAUGUAGAAUACCAACAGUCCCUGGCUUCAAAACAGGGCUUAAGACUGGAAUCAUUCCUAACAAUAAGCCUCCUCCAUGGAGGAGAUGAGAAGGAGACCUUGGAUGUGAUGAUGGUACCAUCACAUAAUGGAGACAAGUGAGAGGGUUUUUAACCACCAGCUCUUAAGCCAGAAGCCCAUAUGUAUGGGGAUGUGUACAGCCCUCUCUUUCUGGACUAAUUAAAGACAGAAACUAGCUUUCUAA